CCAAGCAUUAGCGGCAAAUACAUAUUAGCCAGGAAAAAAUAUAUUUCGCCCGGCAAUUAAAAGAUACAGCCACUAUAAGAGUUAGCCUUUAGUUUUUACUACAAAUAUAAAAUAUAUUUCAUUUCCUUCUCUUUGGUAAAUUCCUAUGAAUACUCAAAACCCUCGUUAAAGCCCCAUUGACGCCUAAAUAUGCCGCCCAACUACAUCAUCGAUUUUUUUCCAGAAAAGUUCACAAAAAAAAACAUUAUCAAGGCCAUGUCAAUGUUUUUCUGGUUUUGAACGCUGCUUCCAAGCGUCACCGUCGGUUGAUUCUCCAUCGUCUUCUUCGCUUAUGGACCCUUAGGUAAUGAAGGGGAGAAUACGGUACAUUUGAUACGGUUACGUUGGAAAAAGCUAAAAUUGAUAGCAAACCAAGUUUAGGCCUAAGGUCUUACAAUCUAAUGUUUGAAGAUUUAACCUUUGGAAGAUUUCAAUAUGACGAAGAUUUGCAGAAAUUAUUUGAAAACUAUUAUUUGUGUCUUUCUUUUUUUUUGUUUUUUAAAUUUAUUUUUUAUUAUAGGAUUGGUUAUAUAAUGACAUUAGUUACAAUUUAAGUUUUUAAGUUGUUACAUUAAUAUUCUGGAUUGGUCCUUUCUUUUUUCGUCAGUUCUAAAGAGAUGUAUUAUGUUUUUUAUGAAUUAAUAGUGAUAUGUUUUUUUAGCAUUUACCUUAGUUGCCACCAAAAGGCUCUACCACUGGAUUAUUAUUUGGAAGAACAUUGUAGCCAUUAUCGGUGGCUAAACAAUUGUUGUUGAAUCUCGUAGCUUUUAGCUGCAAUUCAAUUGAUUU